rnacentral:rRNA from 1 species
AGUCGAGUGCGCGUGCCGUAGCAAUACGGUAUGGCGCACGGCGCACGGGUGCGUAACACGUGGGCAAUCUGCCCUCCGGUGGGGAAUAACCCCGCGAAAGCGGGGCUAAUUCCGCAUAACAUUCCCUGGACUCUGGUUCGGGGAUUCAAAGCAGCAAUGCGCCGGAGGAGGAGCCCGCGCCCGAUUAGCUAGUUGGUGAGGUGACGGCUCACCAAGGCAAUGAUCGGUAGCUGGUCUGAGAGGAUGGCCAGCCACACUGGAACUGAGACACGGUCCAGACUCCUACGGGAGGCAGCAGUGGGGAAUCUUGCGCAAUGGGCGAAAGCCUGACGCAGCGACGCCGCGUGGGGGAUGAAGCUUCUCGGAGUGUAAACCCCUUUCGACCGGGACGAAUGCCCGCAAGGGAGUGACGGUACCGGUAGAAGAAGCCCCGGCUAACUACGUGCCAGCAGCCGCGGUAAGACGUAGGGGGCCAGCGUUGUUCGGAAUUACUGGGUGUAAAGGGUUCGUAGGCGGUGUGGCAAGUCGGGAGUGAAAUUUCUGGGCUUAACCCAGAAGCUGCUUCCGAAACUGCUGUGCUAGAGUGCGGGAGAGGCGCGUGGAAUUGCAGGUGUAGCGGUGAAAUGCGUAGAUAUCUGCAGGAACACCCGUGGCGAAAGCGGCGCGCUGGACCGUUACUGACGCUGAGGAACGAAAGCUAGGGGAGCAAACAGGAUUAGAUACCCUGGUAGUCCUAGCCCUAAACGAUCAGGACUUG